rnacentral:rRNA from 1 species
CUACGUGCCAGCAGCCGCGGUAAUACGUAGGUGGCAAGCGUUGUCCGGAAUUAUUGGGCGUAAAGCGCGCGCAGGCGGAUUGGUCAGUCUGUCUUAAAAGUUCGGGGCUUAACCCCGUGAUGGGAUGGAAACUGCCAAUCUAGAGUAUCGGAGAGGAAAGUGGAAUUCCUAGUGUAGCGGUGAAAUGCGUAGAUAUUAGGAAGAACACCAGUGGCGAAGGCGACUUUCUGGACGAAAACUGACGCUGAGGCGCGAAAGCCAGGGGAGCGAACGGGAUUAGGUACCCCGGUAGUCCUGGCCGUAAACGAUGGGUACUAGGUGUAGGAGGUAUCGACCCCUUCUGUGCCGGAGUUAACGCAAUAAGUACCCCGCCUGGGGAGUACGACCGCAAGGUUGAAACUCAAAGGAAUUGACGGGGGCCCGCACAAGCGGUGGAGUAUGUGGUUUAAUUCGACGCAACGCGAAGAACCUUACCAGGUCUUGACAU